rnacentral:lncRNA from 1 species
CCGAAAUAAACUCAUUUUAUUCGUGGAUACAUGUCUAACUUUAAUUUUAAAGCACCCAAACCCCUCAGCUAUGGUUCGAUGGCCCCCUCCACCUCCAUCUUGGGUAAAGAUGAAUGUUGAUGCAAGUUACUCGAUUUCAAACCAAAAAGCAGCAUCAAGUAUCAUUAUCCAAGACAAAAUGGGUCAAAUAAUGGGUUCUUGUUUUAGAAUUCAUAAUUUGUUUAGCUCGGUAUUUAUGGUUGAAGUGGUAGCGAUUCUUCAUGGUCUCUAAUUUACUUAAGAAAUGGGCUUUCUGCAUGUUGCCCUAGAAAGCAAUUCAAGGACUGUUAUGCUGAAAUUACAGUUAAAAGAGGAGGACUAUUUUGAAAUUCGACUGGUUACCUAGGAUGUGAAAGCAUUAUCUCGAAGCUUCUCAGCAAGGCGUUUUAACUUCAUCGCUAGGGGAGGAAACACUGUUGCACAUGCAAUGGCGGUAGAGGGUUUGAAAAGCACAGAGGACCAAUUCUGGGUUGAAGACGCGCCUUUGAGGGUCAUCGAUCUCCCAACAUCAGACCACUGUUUCAUAGAGCCACCAUGAGCUUCUGCAUAUUUGGGUCAUGUUUUUUGGAUUGAGGAUUUUAUUUAUUUAUCGAAGGAUAACCUCAAUCUCCCCUCCCGACUCGCUCUCCAUUAAUGGAUUUUAAUUCUCAUGAUGGGUUUUGUCGUUUGGUCCCUCUGGUAACUUGAAGGGAUUUUUUUUUGGAAGAGUUUGUCUUCCUUUUAGUUCUUUUUGAGAAUUAUUU